UCCAAUCAGCUUGCGGGACCCAUUGCGAGGAGAAGCGCGUACAAGACAGGGGCGAGGAAGAAGAGGCUUGAUUACCCACCAAUCAAAAGGGGCCUCGGCGCCGCACGCCCCUUUCCCCGCCCCUUGGUAGCGUUGUUGUGGAAACCGAGGGAAGCAACGGUUACAACAAGGCGGGGCAGGAGCAAGAAGUUGAGUGACAGGAAAGGCAACAUCCACAUGGCCCGAGGCGCAGAAAGGUGAAUUCUGAGAUCUGCCUCUGAGCCAUCAUCAACCGUUGCACCCUCCAGAACCCAGAGAUCCAACAUCAGAGCUGAAGCUCCGCCAAGGUUUCUAGAAGCGGAAUCCACUUUUCUAGUAACAUUCUGAAGUGCCUCAUGAAUCUCCAGGUCAAAGAAUCCUAAAGAGAGGAGUCCCAGCCUGCACAAGGGCAGCAGUCACUUUUUGCAUGAUGCUGCCAGGAAGUGAGUAGUUCAGCAGCCCUCGCACUCAGCAAGAGGAUUGGUCACCCCUCUGACAGAACUUCCUCUGUGCCAGGCCUGUUUCAGGCACUUUACUUAUGUCAAGUUUAAAGCCACAUAAGGUGGGUACAACCACUACUCCCAUUGUACAGAUAAGGAAGCUGAGGCCCAAAAUGGCUCAGUAACCAGCCCAAGGUCAUGCUACCAGGAAAUGCUGGAACCAGGAAUAAAACCCAGCUGUCUGGUUCUACCCUGACCUCCCAAGCAGCACUUCCAGUAACCUCCCCACUCAGCAACCAACACUGCCUACCCCCUCAUCCCUAUACCCUUCCCAAGCGGUACCUCUUUCUGAGCCUCCUUUCCCCAUCAGCCCUCCUAACCACAUGCACCCCAGACUCAGAGCCAAAAGGGAUCAUGUCGCCCACAGAAGAAGAAACAGAGGCCCUAGAGGUGUAGGACACACACAUGUCCCCCCAAAUUAUAAAGGUAAUGGAAAAAAAGAAGGUGCAUGCAAAACAGCCAGAAAUAUUUAUGAAGCAUCCACUGCGACUGGGUGCCAGACUCUAUUCCAGAUCCUGGAUACCCAGCACUGACAAGACCCAGUCCCUGCCCUGGUGGGGAUCACAGGCUGGGAGGCAGGUGACAUUUAGCGUGAAAACCAAGGAACAAGAUAAUUUCAGUGGCAUGUGUUCUUGAGACACCGGUAAAGUGAAAGGCCUGAGGAGCGGGACUGGGAAGACCUCUCCAGGUGGUGAGCUUUGGUCCAGGGUCCUCACCUUUCUUUACAGGGACCCGUCUGGUGAGGACGGUGACUUGGGGCUCCCAAAGGCAUCUUCUCUACUGAGAGAAGAGGGCGAGUGGGUAGUUUUGUUCCCAGAAGGGGUAUCUAGGGCGGGAAGAGGUUAACCAACUUGCCCAGAGUAGCCUGGCAGGACCCGACCCUGUGAAAUACAGGGGAGCAGGUUUAUCUUCUCCAGGGGACGGAGUGGGACUGUUCUCCCCUGACCAGCCCCUUUCCGGAGCAUCGCGUCGUAACCUGUUGACCCAAGCAGGGGGCGGGACGCGCGGCAGGCCGGAUCAUCCGGGGCAUCCGGAGCAGUGAAACAAGGUCACGAUUGGCUGUCCGCGGAGGGUGGGCGGGGCCUCCGUCGCUCAGUGCGCGCGCUGCAGAGAAGCGUUGCCGAGA